AGUCCCUUGACAACCUCAGUCGUCUGUUGUUAAUGUUUGUUUAAAUUUUGUUUUGUAGAUAGUAUCCAGCUGAUUCCAACUUAUAGUGAAAUAAGUAGAACAAAUCCCAGUGUUAUACUUUCAAUGAUUUUUUAAAGAAGAAUUUGUCAUCAACACAAAUUGUGAAAUUCAACAGAUUCAAGGGCCACUGUCAUCAAGACUGCCACCCCAUCAUAUUCAUUAUUAACAAGAACCAACUGAUGUGCUCUGUAUUCUAUCCUGCAUCAUAAUCUUGGGUAACUACAUGCUAAAAUUCAUCUUGAAUAUGUUUAAAUCAUCCCCACUGAAAAUCAUGCAUGUGUUGUAUUUGUUUUAUAUUUUUUAAGCAGACAAUAAUUUAAGGGAAUAAAAAUCGACAGACUUGAGAGAUGGUUUGGGAAAGACUAUG
rnacentral:lncRNA from 1 species